AUGCAGUCGAACGAUGAGCCCAGCUUGCUGGGUGGAUUAGUGGCGAACGGGUGAGUAACACGUGAGUAACCUGCCCUUAACUCUGGGAUAAGCCUGGGAAACUGGGUCUAAUACCGGAUAGGAGCGUCCACCGCAUGGUGGGUGUUGGAAAGAUUUAUCGGUUUUGGAUGGACUCGCGGCCUAUCAGCUUGUUGGUGAGG
rnacentral:rRNA from 1 species